UACGUAGGGGGCAAGCGUUGUCCGGAUUUAUUGGGCGUAAAGCGCUCGCAGGCGGUCCGAUGCGUCGUGCGUGAAAGACCCCGGCUCAACUGGGGAGGGUCGAUGCGAUACGGUCGGACUCGAGGCCAGUAGGGGGACGCGGAAUUCCGGGUGUAGUGGUGGAAUGCGUAGAGAUCCGGAGGAACACCAGCGGCGAAGGCGGCGUCCUGGACUGGUACUGACGCUCAGGAGCGAAAGCGUGGGGAGCGAGUCCGG
rnacentral:rRNA from 1 species